rnacentral:lncRNA from 1 species
AGGACGUACAGGUUUGUUAUGUAGGUAAACGUGUGCCAUGGUGGUUUGUUGCACUUAUCAACCCAUCACCUAGGUAUUAAGCCCCACAUGCAUUAGCUAUUUAAGCUGAUGCUCUCCCUCCCCUCCAAUCCCUUGGACAGGCCCCAGUGUGUGUUGUUCCCCUCCCUGUGUCCAUGUGUUCUCAUUGUUCAGCUCCCACUUACAAGUGAGAACAUGUGCACACCACAUCAUUUCUUGGAAGCAGAGGUAUCAAAGGCAAGAAUUUGGCCACAAAGGUUUGUUCUGCUGGUGAAAGCAGCCUGAAAGGAGACUGGCAACUCAUGCUGCCUGUUAAUGAUGAAAUGUGUCCAUAGCAUUUAUCAAGACCCCAUUGUGCUUUCACACCAGUCUCCCCAAAGUGGUGUAUGACUGUGAUAGAGAACAACAGUUGCCUCUCAAUAACCAUUCUUCCCUUUUUCCUUAGUAACAGAGCUCUUUCAUUUCAGCACAUUGAUGGCCAGAAUAAAGGCUGCUUUCCUAGCCCCUCCCUACAACCCUUGUUCUAGAGUUUGCAUUUGGCUCAAUUCUGGCCAAUGGAUUAUAAGCAGACAUGUUGCUGGGACUUCUGGGAAAUCUAAAAGGGGAUUUAGUAGAUAUUUCCUCUUCCCUUUCUUUCCCUGCUGCCUGGAAUGUAGAUGUGAUAACAAGCGCUCCUGCAGCCACCUUGGACCACAAAAUCAAAGGCCACACCCCAGAACCAAAAGCUGGAAGGAGCUUGGGCUUCUGAUAAUUUUGUAGCACCAAAAUCACAGCACUCAACCUUGGGACUUCUUUUACAUAAGACAGAAACAGACAGAGUCAUCAUGGCAGUGGCCGGGGCCCCGGAUGGCAUGGAGGAACCUGGCAUGGACACAGAGGCCGGGAUGUGUCCUGGAUGUGUUAGAAAAUCCCCAUAGAUGUGUAGAAGAUAAAUAGAAAUUCCAGGACCCUGAAGACUGCACAGGAGGCAAUGACAAAAGGGUGUGGAAGUGAGAAGGCACCAGAAAUAAACUUGGCCAACCUGGCUUUUUGCCAAUGGCUAAUCCUACCUGUGGCCAACAUGGCCAGGAUCAUAUAAGCUCACAUUGCCAGCUUCACAGGCACCUUUUCUGACAUGUACAGAGUAGGCUGCCCCAUUAGGGAGAGACACCAAUAUGUUCCGAGGGUGCGUGCCUCAGCAACCCCAUGCACUGCUACCCACCUCACUAAAAUAGCUGGAAGAAGACUCACCAGCUGCCCAUCAGGAAGGGCAUCUAAGGAUGUCAUUUCCCAUGCCUAAGGUUGCAACAGCUGCUGCAUGAGGUUCAAAGUUCUCAGAGCCUAGAGGCCACUGGGGGAGGUUUCUUCAGUGAAAACCAGUGGCAGAAGCAAUGGGCAUGUCCAAAGUACUGCCAUGCUGUCCUGCAUGUCCAGCAGUUCAGUGUGUGGGCUCUGGACUCAGCUUGAACCUUGAUUCCACUUCUUAUCAGCUGUCAGACGCUGGGGCUAUAACCUAAGUCCUAACUUCCUAGUAUGAGGUAAGAGUGGAGCACACAAUAACCAAAGGAAAUAUAAUACAAGCUACCAAUGCAGCUAAAUUACAGACGUAAUUUUAAAUUUUGUAGUAACCACAUUUACAAAGUAAAACGAGGCCAGUUGCAGGGGCUCAAGCUUGUAAUCCCAUAGCUAUGGGAGGCUGAGGUGAGAGGGGGUGGGGAGGGAGGAUCACUUGAGCCACCAUGCCCAGCCAUCUUUCACUUUUGUUGCUUAUGCUUCUGAUUCCCCGUCCAAGAAAUCAUUGUGAAAUCCAGUGUCAUGAAGCUUUCCCUCUAUGUAUUCUCAGGGAAGUUGUACAGUUUCGGGUCUUACGCUUAAAUCUUUAAUCUAUUUUGAGUUCAUUUUUGUAUAUAAGAUCCAAUUUCAGGCUGGGCGCGGUCACUCAUGCCUGUAAUCCCAGUACUUUAGGAGGCCAAGGUGGUUGGAUCACUUGAGGCCAGGAGUUUGAGACCCUCCUGGCCAAAAUGGCAAAACCCCGUCUCUACUAAAAAUACGAAAAUUAGCCAGGCGGGGUGGUGCAUGCCUGCAAUUCCAGCUACUCAGGAGGCUGAGGCAUAAGAAUCACUUGAACCAGGGAGGUUGGAGAUUGCA